GGGCAGGGGUCCCUGGCGGCUUCCGGGUGGCCCACGGCGUCCUCGGAAGAUGCAGGCGGACGCCCGUGUGUCCUGCUAGCGUGACGUCGCAGGGGUGGCCGCAGAGUCCUCACGGGGACCCCACUCGCCGGGACUCAUGGAGGGGACCCUGACGGGGCAGUCAGGGCUGAGCUUUCCUAAUCCUGUGUGUUUCUUUUUCCCCGACGCCCAGCAGAGGAGCCCUCGGAGGCGCCCUCGCCCCCGCCGCCCGCAGAGGCUCCCAAAGAGCCGCCGCAGCCCGAGCCCACCCCGCCGAGGCCCAGCGGCCCCGCAACCCCAGACGACCCUGGGCGACGGCCGUCCGCGGGCCAUCGGCCCGUCCUGCCUCAUUGGCCUGUCCUGCCCCAGCGGCCCCUGCUGCCGCGGCCCCCCGAGGAGAGGCCGCCCCCGCCCGCCUGGCCCGGCCGGAAUGCGCUGCCCCAGCUGCCAGGCUCCACUGGGGUCAUCAUGGAGACGGGCCAGGCCGGGCCUCCCGCAGGCGCAGGCGUGUCUGGGCGGGGUCUGCCGCGGGGCGUGGAUGGCCAGACCGGGAGCGGGACCGUCCCCAGCGCAGAAGGCUUUGCGGGCGCACCAGGAUACCCGAAGUCACCUCCUGUAGCUUCCCCAGGAGCUCCGGUGCCUUCUCUGGUGUCUUUUUCUGCGGGGCUCACCCAGAAGCCUUUCCCCAGCGAUGGGGGAGUUGUCCUCUUUAACAAAGUGCUGGUGAACGACGGGGACGUUUACAAUCCCAGCACGGGGGUCUUCACGGCUCCUUAUGAUGGGCGUUACCUGAUCACGGCGACCCUCACCCCCGAGAGAGACGCCUACGUGGAAGCAGUGCUGUCAGUCUCCA
rnacentral:sRNA from 1 species